AGAAGAAGAGAAACUCCCAUCAGAUCAUCAUCAUGUUCUCUGUAGCUCUGCUGCUGCUGCUGGUGGCUGCUGCAUCCUUUGUGAAGUGUGAACAACUGAACCAGCCAGCUUCUGUGACUCUGCAGCCAGGUCAACGUCUGACCAUCAGCUGUCAGGUCUCUUAUUCUCUGAGCAGCUAUCCAACAGCUUGGAUCAGACAGCCUGCAGGGAAAGGACUGGAGUGGAUCAUUAGAGGAGGCGUAGGAUAUAGCACAUACUAUAAAGAUUCACUUCGGAACAAGUUCAGUAUCAGUUUUGUCUCGUCCAGUAAAACAGUGACUCUGAAUGGAGAGAAUAUGCAGCCUGAAGACUCUGCUGUGUAUUUCUGUGCCAGAGAGACACACAGUGACACAAACAAGCAGCAGAGCUGUACAAAAACCUGAGUUUGAAAACUUUUGUUGUUAUCCAUCAACCAGAGGAGGCGCUCUCAGAUCAUAAAGGA